CUCUCUUUCUCUCUCUUUCUGUCUUUCUCCACUCCUUACUCUUUCUUUCUCCACUCCUUACUCUCUCUUUCUGUCUUUCUCCACUCCUUACUCUCUCUAUCUGUCUUUCUCCACUCCUUACUCUCUCUUUCUGUCUUUCUCCACUCCUUACUCUCUCUUUCUCCUCUCCUUACUCUCUCUUUCUGUCUUUCUCCUCUCCUUACUCUCUUAUUCAAUUCAAAUCAAUUCAAGGGGCUUUAUUGGCAUGGUAAACAUGUGUUAACAUUGCCAAAGCAAGUGAGGUAGAUAAUAUACAAAAGGGAAAUAAACAAUUAAACUUUACAGUAAAUAUUACACUCAUAGAAAUUCUAGGGAAAAGGAAGGAUAGUAUCACUGAUCUUUAAUAAGCUUUACGUAUCGGCCUCAUGGCUUUCGUGAUUUUUUUUACAUUUAAAUUAGCACCCUUGUGUAGACCUAGCCCCGCCCACAUCCGUUCCACGCAUCGAAAGGGGUUGGAGGCGAAGGAAAUACUAAUACGUGCUACCAAAUACAACAUCAAUUUCAUAAAU
ensembl:lncRNA